rnacentral:rRNA from 1 species
ACUUGCUUUCUUUGCUGGCGACCGGCACACGGGUGAGUAACACGUAUCCAACCUGCCCUUUACUCGGGGAUAGCCUUUCGAAAGAAAGAUUAAUACCCGAUAGCAUAAUGAUUCCGCAUGGUUUCAUUAUUAAAGGAUUCCGGUAAAGGAUGGGGAUGCGUUCCAUUAGGUUGUUGGUGGGGUAACGGCCCACCAAGCCUUCGAUGGAUAGGGGUUCUGAGAGGAAGGUCCCCCACAUUGGAACUGAGACACGGUCCAAACUCCUACGGGAGGCAGCAUG